AGCGAUGCGGGCUCCGGGGAUGAGGUCGCGGCCGGCGGGUCCCGCGCUGUUGCUGCUGCUGCUCUUCCUCGGAGCGGCCGAGUCGGUGCGUCGGGCCCAGCCUCCGCGCCGCUACACCCCAGACUGGCCGAGCCUGGAUUCUCGGCCGCUGCCGGCCUGGUUCGACGAAGCCAAGUUCGGGGUGUUCAUCCACUGGGGCGUGUUCUCGGUGCCCGCCUGGGGCAGCGAGUGGUUCUGGUGGCACUGGCAGGGCGAGGGGCGGCCGCAGUACCAGCGCUUCAUGCGCGACAACUACCCGCCCGGCUUCAGCUACGCCGACUUCGGACCGCAGUUCACUGCGCGCUUCUUCCACCCGGAGGAGUGGGCCGACCUCUUCCAGGCCGCGGGCGCCAAGUGAGUGUGGUCCCGGGGAGCGGCGCCCCUUCCCGGCUCGGGCGGCAAACAGGAGGUGGGGCUGGGCGGCCAGCUGGGGCGCGCAGCUGCCGGUCGCCCCCAUGACCCCGGGGCCCGCGUGUGGCCUCCUGCGGCCACAGGAGUGAGCCUGGCACACCUGAUGAGGAGGAGGAGGGGCCUUAGGGAUCCAUAACUUACAAGUGAGAAAAAUUAAAAUCUGGGAGAUAACCUCUUUCCAUGCCUUUUAUUUCAUGGAUGAGAUGACUGGCCCAAAGAGAGGAAGGAAUAUAAUGUCCUAGACUCCAGGUCUCAUGACGUCAAGGUUGUUUCCACUGCACCAGGGUCUGCAAACUGGCCAGAGGGAUUGGUCCUCUGCCAGUUUUUUAAGGCCCAUGAGGGCAAAGAAUGAAAGAAAGUUAAUCGUUCCUACCAGAAGUGUUGAAGAAUCAGAGAGCUAAGGUAUGUAGUUUUGACGACAAAGCAUCACGAAGGCUUCACAAACUGGCCGAGUCCUGUGUCUUGGAACUGGAACUCCAAAGACGUGGGGCCUCAUCGGGAUUUGGUUGGUGAAUUGGGAACAGCUCUCCGGAAGAGGAACAUCCGCUAUGGACUAUACCACUCACUCUUAGAGUGGUUCCAUCCACUCUAUCUACUUGAUAAGAAAAAUGGCUUCAAAACACAGCAUUUUGUCAGUGCAAAAACAAUGCCAGAGCUGUACGACCUUGUUAACAGCUAUAAACCUGAUCUGAUCUGGUCUGAUGGGGAGUGGGAAUGUCCUGAUACUUACUGGAACUCCACAAAUUUUCUUUCAUGGCUCUACAAUGACAGCCCUGUCAAGGAUGAGGUGGUAGUAAAUGACCGAUGGGGUCAGAACUGUUCCUGUCACCAUGGAGGAUACUAUAACUGUGAAGAUAAAUUCAAGCCACAGAGCUUGCCAGAUCACAAGUGGGAGAUGUGCACCAGCAUUGACAAGUUUUCCUGGGGCUAUCGUCGUGACAUGGCAUUGUCUGAUGUUACAGAAGAAUCUGAAAUCAUUUCGGAACUGGUUCAGACAGUAAGUUUGGGAGGCAACUAUCUUCUGAACAUUGGACCAACUAAAGAUGGACUGAUUGUUCCCAUCUUCCAAGAAAGGCUUCUUGCUGUUGGGAAAUGGCUGAGCAUCAAUGGGGAGGCUAUCUAUGCCUCCAAACCAUGGCGGGUGCAAUGGGAAAAGAACACAACAUCUGUAUGGUAUACCUCAAAGGGAUCGGCUGUUUAUGCCAUUUUUCUGCACUGGCCAGAAAAUGGAGUCUUAAACCUUGAAUCCCCCAUAACUACCUCAACUACAAAGAUAACAAUGCUGGGAAUUCAAGGAGAUCUGAAGUGGUCCACAGAUCCAGAUAAAGGUCUCUUCAUCUCUCUACCCCAGUUGCCACCCUCUGCUGUCCCCGCAGAGUUUGCUUGGACUAUAAAGCUGACAGGAGUGAAGUAAUCAUUUGAGUGCAAGAAGAAAGAGGCGCUGCUCACUGUUUUCCUGCUUCAGUUUUUCUCUUAUAGUACCAUCACUAUAAUCAACGAACUUCUCUUCUCCACCCAGAGAUGGCUUUUCCAACACAUUUUAAUUAAAGGAACUGAGUACAUUACCCUGAUGUCUAAAUGGACCAAAGAUCUGAGAUCCAUUGUGAUUAUAUCUGUAUCAGGUCAGCAGAAGAAGGAACUGAGCAGUUGAACUCUGAGUUCAUCAAUUGUAAUAUUUGGAAAUUAUCUACAAUGGAAUCUUCCCUCUGUUCUCUGAUAACCUACUUGCUUACUCAAUGCCUUUAAGCCAAGUCACCCUGUUGCCUAUGGGAGGAGGUGGAAGGAUUUGGCAAGCUCAACCACAUGCUAUUUAGUUAGCAUCAGUUGUCACCAACAGUCUUUCUGCAAAGGGCAGGAGAGCUUUGGGGGAAAGGAAAAGGCUUACCAGGCUGCUAUGGUCAACUCUUCAGAAAUUUUCAGAGCAAUCUAAAAGCGCCAAAAUUCGCUAUGUUUACAGUGAUACUAUUAAGAAAAUGAAUGUGAUUCUGCUCUGUCUUUUUAAGUAUGAUCAAAUAAAAAAUUUGUACAUCACAAUCAUUUCUACCAAAAAAA